rnacentral:rRNA from 1 species
UAAUACAGAGGUGGCAAGCGUUGUUCGGAAUUACUGGGCGUAAAGGGCGCGUAGGCGGCCGCCUAAGUCAGACGUGAAAUCCCCAAGCUUAACUUGGGAACUGCGUCUGAUACUGGGUGGCUUGAGUUCGGGAGAGGAAUGUGGAAUUCCAGGUGUAGCGGUGAAAUGCGUAGAUAUCUGGAGGAACACCGGUGGCGAAGGCGGCAUUCUGGACCGAAACUGACGCUGAGGCGCGAAAGCCAGGGGAGCAAACGGGAUUAGAUACCCCGGUAGUCCUGGCCCUAAACGAUGAGUGCUUGGUGUGGUGGGUAUCGAUCCCUGCCGUGCCGAAGCUAACGCAUUAAGCACUCCGCCUGGGGAGUACGGUCGCAAGGCUG